rnacentral:ncRNA from 1 species
CAACCUCAACUCAUAUGAGACUACCCCCUGAAUUUAAGCAUAUUAAUUAGGGGAGGAAAAGAAACUAACAAGGAUUUUCUUAGUAGCGGCGAGCGAAAAGAAAACAGUUCAGCACUAAGUCACUUUGUCUAUAUGGCAAAUGUGAGAUGCAGUGUAUGGAGCGUCAAUAUUCUAGUAUGAGAAAUUAAUGAUUUAAGUCCUUCUUAAAUGAGGCCAUUUACCCAUAGAGGGUGCCAGGCCCGUAUAACGUUAAUGAUUGCUAGAUGAUGUUUCCAAAGAGUCGUGUUGCUUGAUAGUGCAGCACUAAGUGGGUGGUAAACUCCAUCUAAAACUAAAUAUAACCAUGAGACCGAUAGUAAACAAGUACCGUGAGGGAAAGUUGAAAAGAACUCUGAAUAGAGAGUUAAACAGUACGUGAAACUGCUUAGAGGUUAAGCCCGAUGAACCUGAAUAUCCGUUAUGGAAAAUUCAUCAUUAAAAUUGUAAUAUUUAAAUAAUAUUAUUAAGAAUAAUGUGCAUUUUUUCCAUAUAAGGACAUUGUAAUCUAUUAGCAUAUCCCAAAUUUAUCAUAAAAUAUAACUUAUAGUUUAUUCCAAUUAAAUUGCUUGCAUUUUAACACAGAAUAAAUGUUAUUAAUUUGAUAAAGUGCUGAUAGAUUUAUAUUAUUACAGAGCGUUAAUUUUUCGGAAUUAUAUAAUGGCAUAAUUAUCAUUGAUUUUUGUGUUUAUUAUAUGCUCUUGUAUGAUUAACAAUGCGAAAGAUUCAGGAUACCUUCGGGACCCGUCUUGAAACACGGACCAAGGAGUCUAACAUAUGUGCAAGUUAUUGGGAUGUAAACCUAAUAGCGUAAUUAACUUGACUAAUAAUGGGAUUAGUUUUUUAGCUAUUUAUAGAUAAUUAACACAAUCCCGGGGCGUUCUAUAUAGUUAUGUAUAAUGUAUAUUUAUAUUAUUUAUGCCUCUAACUGGAACGUACCUGA